ensembl:misc_RNA Metazoa_SRP Metazoan signal recognition particle RNA
GCCAGGUGCUGUGGUGCAUGCCUGUAGUCCCAACUACUUGGGAGGCUGAGCCAGGAAGAUCUUUUGAGGCCAGGAGUUCUGGGCUGUAGUACACUAUGCCAAUCAGGUGCCUGCGCUAAGUUCAGCAUCAAUAUGGUGACCUCCAGGGAGUGGGGGACCACCAGACUGACUAAGAAGGAGUGAACAGGCCCAGAUCAGAAACAGAGCACAUCAAAACUUUCGUGCUGAUCAGUAUUGGGAUCAUGACUGUGAAUAGCUGCUGCACUCCAGCCUGGGUGAUAUGGUCUGGCUGU